UACGUAGGGGGCAAGCGUUAUCCGGAUUUACUGGGUGUAAAGGGAGCGUAGACGGCUAAUCAAGUCAGAAGUGAAAACCCAGGGCUCAACCUUGGGACUGCUUUUGAAACUGUUCUUCUUGAGUGAUGGAGAGGCAGGCGGAAUUCCGUGUGUAGCGGUGAAAUGCGUAGAUAUACGGAGGAACACCAGUGGCGAAGGCGGCCUGCUGGACAUUAACUGACGCUGAGGCGCGAAAGCGUGGGGAGCAAACAGG
rnacentral:rRNA from 1 species